rnacentral:snoRNA from 1 species
CCCAUCCAGGAUGACGAACUGAUCUCCUAUCAGCUGCACGGGCUGGACAUGGACUACGAUCCCCUUGUCUCCGCCCUCGAUGCCCGCGUCACGCUGGUCUCCCUCGACGAGCUCUACGCCAUGUUGAGCAACUUCAAUC